GGGCCUUUAGCUCAGUCAGCAGAGCGCUACGAUGGCAUCGUAGAGGCGCCGGGGGCAGAGCCCGGAAGGUCCACCA
rnacentral:tRNA from 1 species